rnacentral:rRNA from 1 species
AGUGAACGCUGGCGGUAGGCCUAACACAUGCAAGUCGAACGGCAGCACAGUAAGAGCUUGCUCUUACGGGUGGCGGGUGGCGGACGGGUGAGGAAUACAUCGGAAUCUACUUUUUCGUGGGGGAUAACGUAGGGAAACUUACGCUAAUACCGCAUACGACCUACGGGUGAAAGCAGGGGAUCUUCGGACCUUGCGCGAUUGAAUGAGCCGAUGUCGGAUUAGCUAGUUGGCGGGGUAAAGGCCCACCAAGGCGACGAUCCGUAGCUGGUCUGAGAGGAUGAUCAGCCACACUGGAACUGAGACACGGUCCAGACUCCUACGGGAGGCAGCAGUGGGGAAUAUUGGGCAAAGGGCGCAAGCCUGAUCCAGCCAUACCGCAUGGGUGAAGAAGGCCUUCGGGUUGUAAAGCCCUUUUGUUGGGAAAGAAAAGCAGCAGGUUAAUACCCCGCUGUUCUGACGGUACCCAAAGAAUAAGCACCGGCUAACUUCGUG